rnacentral:rRNA from 1 species
CAUUAAUGAAGUAUAGGGAGUUGUUGCUGGCUCUAUUCGAGCAUGUGCACACUCCUUCGCUUUACUUACCACCUGUGCACCUUUUGUAGACUAGUGAUAACCUUCAGUUGUCAAGACUGGAUUGGAGUUUGCACUUUGUGCUUUCUCUGCUAUCAUUAGUCUAUGUUUUAUAUACACUAUGUAUGGCAAGCAUGUCAUUAACAGGUCUUUGACCUUUAAUACAAUAUAACUUUCAACAACGGAUCUCUUGGCUCUCGCAUCGAUGAAGAACGCAGCGAAAUGCGAUAAGUAAUGUGAAUUGCAGAAUUCAGUGAAUCAUCGAAUCUUUGAACGCACCUUGCACUCCUUGGUAUUCCGAGGAGUAUGCCUGUUUGAGUGUCAUUAAAUUCUCAAAUCUCAUCAGUUUUAUAACUGACUUGAGACUUUGGAUGUGGGAGUUGCAGGCUUCUCAGAAGUCUGCUCUCCUUAAAUAUAUUAGUGGUUACUGUUUGACCAUAUCCUGGUGUGAUAAUAUCUACUCCAAGGGUUGGUUAAUACUUAAAAGGUAGCUGCUUCGAACAGUCUAUUAACUUGGACAACUUUGAACCAUUUGACCUCAAAUCAGGUAGGAUUACCCGCUGAACUUAA